ACUCCGAGAUAGCAUAAUUGGUAGAGCAUGAGACUCUUAAUCUCAGGGUCAUGGGUUUGAGCCUCACAUUGGGCA